AUACGGUUCUUUCCAGGAGGCUAAUGCUAAAGUGCUGUUGGUGCUGCGGUUGAUUUCUGCUACCUUGGCCCAACGUUUUUUCAGGUUGUGCAGACACACUAAUGCAAGCCCUGACAUAAAGGAAGGUCACGAAAACAAACGCUGCUGACUUAGUCCCUGGUUUUUCAUUUUAGCCCGUUCACGUUUGUCAGUGUGCCAACAUCACAACAUUGGAGGACUUAUUUAAAACCCUGCAUUGACCUUGAAACAGUGCUUCACAUUGGCUACUGAGAAAAUAUUGUAAAGAUAAAUACUGUAACUACUUUGGUAAUAUUCUGGGCAACAAGGAUCAGAUGUAAGGGCAGUCUUCUGGAGAGACGACAGAGUGUGGUUUCA
ensembl:lncRNA